CUACACCGAUGCUAGGGUUCUAACGUUCAUGUGUUGGGCUCUCGACGAACAAUGCCGAGCGUCCCGUCCAUUGCUGAGGAGACCGUCUGCGAGAUCAAUCGCGAUUUCCUCACUCGCGCCCAGCAGCAGCAGCCGCAGCAGCAGGGCGGCGAUGUUUCAUCCAAGGCGCAUGAGCAGUACAACAAGGUCCUCAACAGAGUCUUCCCCAAGCUGCUGUUCAAGGUUGGAACGAUCCCGAUCGCCGACGACAAUGGCAGCAAUGGGAUUGCUGCGCAGAUGGAUAUUUCGGCGCCAGGAGGAUCUCUCGAGGGGGAGGAAGAGGAUCUGGUUAGGGCGACUGCAGCAGCGGUGGAAGAAACCCUAGACGAGGCCCUCGGCGAGCCUCUGUCGGCGCUCCAGCGCCUCGGAUCUCUCUUCUACAGGGGCGAGAAGCGCGAUUCCAGCAGCGCCAGGCCGAAAUUUCUCCAGUCCAUGGCCUGGCACAAGCACAAGCUCCUCCUCGCAUUCGUCGCCAAUCCAGCGCACGUCCUAGUGGUGGAUUACGACGACGCCGACGCCAAGAAUCCCUUUCUUCUUGGCCAUGAAACCCAGCAGCGCGGCGUGGAAGCGAUCGAGUGGAGACCAAACUCGGGCUCGAUUCUGGCCGUUGGAUGCCGCGGUGGAGUUUGCCUGUGGACGGCAUCCGGUGCCACGCCACCUUUGAGGACCGGGGCUGUGGUGCCUCUCGUCUCAGCGGCUACGAAAUGGAGCCUGGUGGAUUUUUUGCGCUGGGGGAUCGAUAUGCCCGUCUCGGCUCUCUCGUGGAGCCCCUGUGGAAGGCUCUUGGCGUGUGGAUCGAGCGAGACGCCGACUUUCGCAGUGUGGGACGUCUCUCUCGGGGAGAGCACACCGCUGCGACGGGGAAUGGCCGGCGUCCAGUUCAUGAAGUGGUCGCCGCUCGGGGACUACUUGCUCACGGCCAAAGUUGACGCGUCGUUUCAUCUCUGGGAGACCAUGACUUGGACGUCCGAGCCGUGGGCCUCGGCUGGUGGAGCUCUCGUGGGCGCGGCGUGGAGUCCCGAUGGCCGGAUGAUCAUGGGUGCUUUUGAUCAGAGCAGCACGCUCGGGACUUUACACUUUGCUGGGAAGCCUCCGUCGCUGGAGGUGCAUUUGCUGCCUUUGGGACUCUCGGAGAUAGAAGCGAUUUGUGGACCCGGAGGAAGCAUUGAGAGGAUGGCUUGGGAUGGAACAGGGGAAAGGUUGGCGGUGUCGUAUACAGGUGGUGAUGCUGUAUACUCUGGUUUGAUCGCCAUCUACGACACGAGGAGAACACCGAUCAUAUCAGCCUCGUUGCUGGGAUUUGUGAGAGGUCCAGGUGCUGGUGCGAAGCCUCUGGCUUUCGCGUUUCAUGAUAAGCUCCGGCAGGGAGCUUUACUGGGCGUUUGCUGGAGCACGGGCUUCAUCUGCGUCUAUCCUAUGCUCUUCAGGACGGGCAUGUAGAGUCGUAUAUCAUCGAGCGAAGAUAUGAAGGGAGUCCUCGUCAUUCUCGUCUCCGGUUUGCCGUGCCUGGUGCUUGUCCAACUGUUCCUGCAGAUUAGCAAUCGUGUCUACCAGCUUUGCAUACUCCUCAUGACUAUCUCCGUUCGCAGCAGGGUCACGGCUCCCUGAAGAUCUUCCAGCUGCUGCUGUAAGGCCAUUUGUUCCCGUUGAGAUUGCUGAUUCUGUUUGUUUGCUUCUGCAGCCUCGGCUCGAGCCCUUCGCAGUAGCUCGUUCUUCUCUGUCAACCUUAGCCUGGCAUCCUCGACUUGCUUCUUUAUGUCCUGGAAGUUGUCCUCUACCGCGUGUAGCUUGGACGUUACUGCCUCGCAUUCUUGUUGAAGCUUGGUCAGGCCUUCCUGGUGCUCCAUCACCAUGGAACCGUAGCUCUCGAUGUCGUCCUCUAAGUCUUUUUUUACUCUUUCAAUCUUUUCUAGUGCUUCUUUCA